UCAGGUAAAGAAAGAUGGGGAUGGUUCAAACUCUGCUUCAAGAGGAAAUUGGUAGCAGGGAUCUCAGAGACAGUCCCGGGGUCCCGUUCAACAGUAGAUUUGUGUGUUCGAAGUUGCAGUUGGUGAGCCUUCUCUAUUCCGAAAGGCCUGGUCAUUAAACUUUAUUAUUUCUUUUGUUUUACGGUUUGACUGGGGGGCCUUGUCCCAGUCGUUAGACAGAUGUUGGCUUUCACAGUGUUAGAGAUUUCGCAGACUGGUGUCAAAUAUUUUGUUGAAUGUUGUGAACUCAAGUUUUGUAUUAUUCCACUGAACUAAGUGAUUUGACCAUGUUA